CGCCCUAAAGCUAUCCAAUAUCAACAGUUAAAAUAAGUAUUACCUAUCUUAGUAAUACAUAUUAAAACCAUCAAAAAUAGUUAAGCGGCCUUAUUACAUUUAAAAACCCAAAACUUCAAUCGUAAAUAAAAGGAUGUCUAGUUCACUAGAAGAAAAUCAAACUUUCAGAACGGGUGGCCACUCCGAAUUCCCUCACAGCUCCAAGCCCACUAUGGUUGGGGAUUUCCUGCGUGGAUGAAAAUAAAAAGGGUGAGUUUGGGGAAACUCAGUGUGUAAAUUAACCCAACCAUAGCCUAUAUCAGCUCAAACCACAGAAAUAGAAUAAGUUGGCCUUAGCCCAGAACAGAAUUCAGAAUAAAGCCCAUAGGCCCAUAACAGAACAGAACAGAUAUUACAUGUUUAUUCAAAAACCCAACCAUAUCCAACCGUAUACACCCCGUACCAACCUUACACCAUGUGGGGAGACAACUCGACCCACCCAACCGCUACAUACCACAAAAUUUGCAGCAUGGCUGCCAGAACAGAUAAUGUGACAGAUUCACCAGAUACAGAUAAUCGUGGCAGAGCCACCAGAACAGAUAUUUGUGGCAGAGCCACCAGAUCAGAUAUUUGUGGCAUAGCCACCAGAACGCUUCCUCCAUAAUAUAACCCAUGUCCCCAUGCAACAGAUAUAUAAUCAUGGCAUACAUCAUACAGAAUCAGAUCGUCAUGCUUUUCAGUCAAAAUUAACCCUAGGGGUAUAACAGUAAUUUUGCACCUAGGGGUAUAAUAGUAAUUUUCCAUACAUAGGGGUAUUAUAGUAAUUUAGCUACUUUUAGGGUUUUCAUGCAUAUCCUCACUAUUUACGUACUAUCAGAACACUUACCGCGCAUACUUACCAAAUUGGACCUGUUGGCCCAUGAACCCGAUCUUUGGCCCAUGAACCCGAUCUUUGGCCCAUUAAGCCCAAAUUAUCAAAAUGUACGAAAUCGCGCGUACUGCAGUUUAUUACUUUAGAUUACCAAAUAUACAAACCCAACUAUCUUACAAGCAUUCGCACACUCGAAAAUUCCCAAAAUACCGACUUUUCGGCAUUUCGGCUUUUCGGCUUUUGCCAAUCUAGUCUAUGAGAGGGUGUCAGUUACACACCUAUUUGCGACGAUAUGCUGACGAGAUCCACACACGAACCGCCUACAAUUGGAUUACUAACACGUUAAUCUAACUAUUCAAAUACAAACUACGUAUUAACCCCUUACAAUAUUCGGCCAACCACACCUACAGAUCAUAGUAAGCUUAUAAGAAAUCAAUAAGCAACUCAUUAACAAAUUUUGUCAAUGUUUACCACAUAAUCAUAAUUUCACUGCAAGCUGUCUUCCUGAGCAACAGUCACUAAAUUAUUUAUAACUGGAGCUACGAAAUUCCAAAUCAAGUGCCGUUAAUUUUCCCUGAAAAUAGACUCAUAUAUAUUCUAUCCAUAAAAUUUUCAGAAUUUUUUGUUUAGCCAAUAAAUACCAGAUUUUUCUCAAAGUUUCCCAUGUUUCACUGUUUAACUAAUCUGACCACCCUUCAUUACGAAUCAAAUUUCUCAUUUUACAGAAUUCAAAAUAUGUUCUUGUUUAUUUCAUUAGAAACUAGACUCAAUAAACUUUAAUUACAUAAUUUAUUCAGCUUCUAACUCAUCUUCCACAAUUUAUGGUGAUUUUCCAAAGUCACGUUACUGCUACUGUCCCAAGCAGAUUUAUUACCAAAUCACUCUUUCACACCUAACUUGCAUGCUUGUUAUUUAAACAUGUAUAUCACCAAUCAAUCAUCAGAUAUCUAUGAUUUUACUUAAGUAUAAUCUCCAUUUCAUCAUUUUAAAGCACAACAUGUUAGCUGAUUUUUCCCUUUAACAUCUAAGGCACAUGCAUGCUUAUUUGUUUGGCUCAACUUCACCUAUCUUCCAUUCUUCAUCAAAAGAACAUGAAACAACAACCAUUUCCUUCAUUUUAAUUCAUGACUAAAUGCUCACAACACAACUAAAAAUCAAAAUAUACUUCAACAGUUAAGGUAGAAUCAAGAAGAACUCAUGAACCUCAAAAUAGAAGCAAGGUACCAAGAACUAUUACCUUCAAUAUUCCUCCUCCUAAUGACCAAAUACUCAAGAGCUUUCUCCUCUCCUUUCUCUUCUCUAACUUUCAGCUAUGAUGAACAAAGAUGGACAAAACUUUGUUCUUUUCACCCCUUUUUCUUUUAAUAAAAC
rnacentral:lncRNA from 1 species